CGCGGCCUAUCAGCUUGUUGGUGAGGUCAUGGCUCACCAAGGCGACGACGGGUAGCUGGUCCGAGAGGAUGACCAGCCACAUUGGGACUGAGACACGGCCCAGACUCCUACGGGAGGCAGCAGUGGGGAAUAUUGCGCAAUAGGCGAAAUCCUGACGCAGCGACGCCGCGUGUGGGAUGACGGCCUUCGGGUUGUAAACCACUGUCGCGAGGGACGAAGCUCUGACGGUACCUCGAAAGGAAGCACCGGCUAACUCUGUGCCAGCAGCCGCGGUAAUACAGAGGGUGCGAGCGUUGUCCGGAAUCACUGGGCGUAAAGGGCGCGUAGGUGGCCUGGUAAGUAGGGGGUGAAAUCUCGCGGCUCAACUGCGAGGCUGCCUCCUAAACUGUCAGGCUCGAGCAGAGUAGAGGCAGGUGGAAUUCCCGGUGUAGCGGUGGAAUGCGUAGAGAUCGGGAAGAACAUCGGUGGCGAAGGCGGCCUGCUGGGCUCUUGCUGACACUGAGGCGCGACAGCGUGGGGAGCAAACAGGAUUAGAUUCCCUGGUAGUCCACGCCGUAAACGAUGGGUACUAGGCGCCGGGAGGAGCGACCCCUUCGGUGCCGUAGCUAACGCAAUAAGUACCCCGCCUGGGGAGUACGG
rnacentral:rRNA from 1 species